ACAAUUCAAGAGAUUGAGAAGAAAGGGGGAAACAAACUUAUCAGCUCAAAACAGGAAAUUGAUCGGUAGGAAUUAUAGCCAUCGAUGCUAGGAUCGUCUAGACACUCCCAGAUCGUCGAACAAAUAGCCCAAUAGUGAGAAAAUGUAGAGAGAAAUCAGAGAAAAAGAAGACAAUAGUGUUUUAGAGAGAUAGAGUAUUCUUAAAAGUAAUGAGACACAUUUAUAAAAUCAUAUAUAAUUAUUUUAAAGUAAAAUAACCCAUCUCAUUAUUUUAAUACACCUAUCUACUCUAAUACUCUAUUUUCUAGAUUCUUAUAUUGAAUAGUAAAUUUUCUGAAAUUUGAAUUUUGGUGAUAAAAUUUGUAAAAUCGGAAUUUUUUAAUAGUAAAAUGUAAAUCUAUCACUCUA
rnacentral:lncRNA from 1 species